AGAGCCUCAAAGAGCACCCAGCAUAACUGUGGGAGAAUAGUAAGCAUUGGACACAAAAUGGUUUAGGCAAAUAAUGAUGAACAAAAAUGGUCAGUCUGUGUUCCUGCUGACCCAGCACAGUGGGGACGCUGUGUAGGACAUGACCUUUGGGGGAAAGGACACAAGAACUCAGCGUGGGGGAUCCAGAAAAGAAGUCGCACGUAUUGAAGCCAGUAACGCCAAGCCAGUGAAUUCUCCUUGACGAGAAAGACCCACUUACUCUGCAGAAGAGAUAUAUGACAGCUGACAAUCCCUGGAGGAGAAUCUUUCUACUAAAUUGGUAAGGGAUGCUAAGCAAAUGAUGUGGACUCAGGAAACAACGCAUUUCAUGAUAUACGGUUGCCUCUCAAGGUGAAUUCGAGACCCCUCUUGAAUUACAAAGAGUUGAAAACAUUCAAGUACGGAAUAAACUAUUACUGCGAAUACGCUCAUAUGACACAAGAACAAUCUCUGAGCUUCUUUGAGGAUGUCCAGAUGACUGCUGACUGCACUAAUUGCAUCAAUCGUGUAUCCAUACAGGCAGGACCUUGCUCUGUCACCCAGGCUGUAGUGCAAUGGUGUGAUCUCAGCUUACUGCAGCCUCAACCUCCUGGGCUCAAGUGAUCCUACCACAGCUUCCUGAGUAGCUGGGACUACAGAACUGAUCCGAGAGGACAGGGAAGUCAGUGUGGGCGGCUCUAAGGAGCCUCCCUCUCUACAGCUGCGGCUCAGAGGAUUACGGCGCUUCAUCCACAAGGCAACAUUGCACAAGUAGCUUUUGAACAAAAGUCAUGGAUACUAUUAAUGAUAUGGUAAUCCUUAAUCGAGCUACCUCCCAGUAGUGAUUAUACUGACAUGGGAAGAAUAUCUAAGUCGUGGAGGCAGCCCACAACAACACUGUGUCAUUGUUCACCCCGGGCUCGACCAGGACUAACUUUUACCAGCAUCUCUAACGUCACCUUUCCCCUGAUGCCUCCCCACAACCCCUGGCCCCAGCUCCCAUUCCCGCCCCAUCAUAGCAAAAAAGUAGCAAAGAAAACCCUGAUCCUAAA
ensembl:lncRNA LINC02436 long intergenic non-protein coding RNA 2436